UACAGAGGUCCCAAGCGUUGUUCGGAAUUACUGGGCGUAAAGCGUGCGCAGGCGGUUUUGUAAGUCAGAUGUGAAAUCCCCGGGCUUAACCUGGGAACUGCGUUUGAAACUACAAGGCUAGAGUGUGGCAGAGGGGGGUGGAAUUCCACGUGUAGCAGUGAAAUGCGUAGAGAUGUGGAGGAACACCGAUGGCGAAGGCAGCCCCCUGGGUUAACACUGACGCUCAGGCACGAAAGCGUGGGGAGCAAACAGG
rnacentral:rRNA from 1 species